rnacentral:tRNA from 1 species
GAAGCUGGGGCUCAGUGGUAGAGUGCUUGCCUGGCAUGUGUGAGGCCCUGAGUUCAAUCUUCAGCAUCUCA